UGACUCUUUAUUCUACCUAGUUUAGACGGUUUUGAUUGACCUAGCUCAAGAUUCACCAGGUGUCAGACGUAGGAUUGUGACACUUCCUGGGAGCCCCCGAGCCACACGUCGACUGCACCAGGUGUCAAGACGUAGGAUUGUUGCACUCCGAGCCUCCGAGCCACGCGUUAAUCGACUAAUCGCCCCGGGAGAGUUGUCAUUCGCGGGCUCACACGGGGAGAAAUCGGGUGGGUCAGUAAGUCAGAAGGUUGAAUUAAUGUAUCGAUUUGAUGUUGACCAACAAAAAACUAGAUAAUUAUAAUAAUAAAUACUGUUCAUGUAAUGGUAUAGUUAGGU
ensembl:lncRNA